CUAGCAAUGACAAAAUCCAUUUUGUUGAAUCCUCAUUAUCAGCCAUACUUUAUGCCACUAGAGGUUUUUCAGUUCUUUGUACUUGAGGUUGCAGAUCAAAGCUGAAAAUAAGCUUCUGAAUGCUGAAGUUUUUGUACAUAUCAUGUUCGAACCGUGAGAGUGGAGUAAAGGAUAAAUGCGAUGUUAACAGGCUAAAGAAGACAAAGGUGGAAAGAAAUCCUGAUUUGAAAGGAUUAGUAUGGCUGAAUUAACGCAAGGAACUAUUCAAAAAACUAGAAGACUGUGAAGGUUUCCUGGAGCAAAUUACGAACAAAAGACCUCUUAUGGUAGCAACAACGAUGUCACUACCCAAUUACUGUCCUGAAAGCUCAUGUGGCCAGUGUAAGUUCGAGGCUCAUAAAUACAUAUAUCUUCAAGAAUUAAGAAAGUCAGUUUUGUUUCUCUUCUUCCGUUAAAAAUAGUCCUGAUAUUUAAUCAUUUUUCAGCUUCUGUUUGGAGCACUAUUAAAUCACUUAAACGGGAGUUACUGUUAGUAAUAAAGUCACUUUUAAUUAAAGGUUUGACAGUUACAGAAACGAAUGGUCAUGAAUUAUUAUGCAUUAAGUGCGUUUAAGGGUCAUCAUUAUUUGUUAGCUAACCACUAAGCAUUAGCUUUAUGUCUAUUUAGUAUUUUUAAUUGAGGAGUAUCAUGUCAUGUAGCAUAUCCAAAUCUACCUUCUCAUGUAGCAUGUGCAAAUUGAGGAAAUGAUAAAGUUUAUUUCUGGAUUAAAUG